CCUACGGGAGGCAGCAGUAGGGAAUUUUCGUCAAUGGGCGCAAGCCUGAACGAGCAAUGCCGCGUGAACGAGGAAGGUCUUCGGAUCGUAAAGUUCUGUUGAAGGGGGCAAAGAGCGGAGAGAGGAAAUGAUCUCUGAUUGAUAUUACCCUUCGAGGAAGUCACGGCGAACUACGUGCCAGCAGCCGCGGUAAUACGUAGGAGGCGAGCGUUAUCCGGAGUGAUUGGGCGUAAAGGGUGCGUAGGCGGCCUGCUAGGGCUAGAGUGAAAGGUACCGGCUCAACCGGUACAGGCGCUGGAAACUGGCGGGCUAGGGAGCAGGAGAGGGCGGUGGAACUCCAUGUGUAGCGGUGAAAUGCGUAGAUAUAUGGAAGAACACCAGUGGCGAAGGCGGCCGCCUGGCCUGUUGACUGACGCUGAGGCACGAAAGCGUGGGGAGCAAAUAGGAUUAGAUACCCCAGUAGUC
rnacentral:rRNA from 1 species